AACGCACGAGACCUGCGGACCUGCGGAAGGAUCAUUAUUGAAUUUAACUUGAUCAAGUUGUGCUGGUCUUUAGGGACAAGUGCACGCUUGAUUCAAUGUUAUUUUAACCACCUGUGCACCUUUUGUAGACUUGGAAUAUCUAUCGAUUAAAUAUCGGAUGAAAGGAUUGCUAAAGUUUCUAUCCUUUAAAUUUCUCAAGUCUACGUUUUUCAUAUACACUUGUAAUAACAAAACUAUUGG
rnacentral:misc_RNA from 1 species